UGUAGAAGCUGUUUUCCACUCUGGAGGUUUUGGGCGUGUCUGAGCUGAACCUGUCAGCCAAUCAGUGGAAAGACGAGAUGAUCCGUUUUGACUGGACGCCACAAACAGAUAAGGAGCCUCCACUGCUGAGGACGUUCGAGGACCCGUCCACAUGGGAGGUGACCUUGAGGCCAAUGGAGAUCCGAACCUUCCUGCUCAGGGUCCAGCUCAGAUAGCCAAUCGUUCACUUAGACUUUUUAAAGAUUUGUAAGAAAACAAAUAAGCAAAACUAUAAUUCAGUCAGUUGAAGUCUCCUGUGGCCUCCUGCUUGGGUUUGAUUGGACCAAGCGAGGACACUUGAUGAAGGAGGCAAAGGGAUUUUCCUUAAAGGCCCAUAAAUCUGAUCAGGGUCUGAAGUCUCCGGACCACGUGUCGAAGAUCAGGCUUGUUUGACUGAAGUCUGAACGUAUUUCUCAUUCGAGACGUGCACAGUAUUUGCUGAAGCUGCCUUCUGAUCAUUUCUCCUACAAACUGCUGCCAACACACACCGACUGCCUGACGUGUGCAACUUUUCUAUUUCUACCAACAUGUGUAUAUACGUCACUGAUUUUAUACUGACCCUGAUCACAGUGAAUAAAUCUUUCUCUACUGUUAUUGUCGUGUUCGUGUUCCACUAACACCGAGCGUAAACACAAACAGGCCGAGGUGGUUUGAACAUUGAACAGAUGUUUGUGAUUUAACUGCACACGCUCAGAGAUGAGAUUACAUUAAAUUUUACUGCAGCCGUUGAAAGUUCAAACACCUGCUGUUUACCGUCGUCUCAGCUUUCGUUUGGACGUGUGGAACUCUAACUUUAUCAGGCAGCAUUUACUUCUUUUCACUUACCUCAUCACAAAGCAGGUGAUGCACAUCUCAAGUGAGCGACCUCUCGUCUACUGUCAAAUAUUGAAAGCGAGAAUGUGGUUUGAUAUGAUUGAUAUGAUCUACGAGCGAGGGGCCGAUUAAAAAAACAUUUGCUGAUGUUGAAGCAAGUUGAGUUUAACUUUGGUGAACCUUCGCUUUGCUGUCGUGUGUGACGGGGCCACUACACUUCCCAUGGUGGCUGACAUUAAUGACGAAUAAGACAAACAAACAACACGUUAAGUCACAUUGAGGACUUUAUUGAUGUGAAAUACAUGUUGACAGCAGUCAAAUUAUUAAAAAACAAAAGAACGAUGUUUUGAUUCUAAGCUCGUAACUAAUUUGAACCAACUAGUUAGUCACUGCGUCACAACGGAAAGAAACUGGUCUGAUUUACACAUUUGUAAAAUUAACGAUAUCAGUAAUACACUUUUUAUGAAGCGUCACUGUUAUCGUCAAUAUCUGGAUAUUCUGUGCACGAACAGGUUUUAGUUUGUUGUCCUCACCAAAAUAAAGUCUGACUGCAGAGCCUCAUUCUCACUUUAUCAAGGCUGCAACUUUCAAAACUCAAGG